rnacentral:lncRNA from 10 species
AAGACAGCUGUGUCCUACCUGUAGAUCUUUCUUUUCAGAAGUACGUGUGUUUAUGGGCAGAGGAUGCUGUCAGGCAGGUCUGGAGCUGAGGAUCGCUGCGUGAAGCACAGCGUCAUCGAGAAUGCAAGACAGUCAUCAUCUGGAUGAAGGCUUCUGUUUCUGUGCCCAACCCCUGCCCUCCUGGAAAUGAAAUGCUUGGCACUCUUCCAUCCAUGCUGAAGAUCUCUGGUGGUGUCCACCAGCCUAGGAAUUUUGCAGAUAAAGUCCCUAAUCAACUGACUUUAAAGAGGAGAGACAAUCCAGUGGACCUCACUUAAUCAGAAGGCCUUAAAAGCAAGACUGAGGCCUCACCAGGAGAGAAGAAAUUCCUCCUGUGUACAACAGCUUGAGCCCAUGCCCAGAGUCCGUCCUGCUUGUGCCUGUCCCUUCCUGACUGCUGCUCUAUGGAUUUUGGACUUGCUUAGCCAGCCCUCAU